AGGGCGGCGAAGCCGUCAACGACGUGCUUGUACGAGCGGACCAGCCGCGGCUUGCCAUCGGCGGUGGUGUUGCCGGGGAGGAAGGGUAGGUGCCAGCUCCGUCGUGCACCGUCGUCGUCCAUGCCGACGGCGUUGUCGUCCGGUCGCGGCCUUAGGAGAACGAUUCUCAGCGACCGCAUAUCUCAUGAGACGGAAUCUUCCGGUUCCGGCGACCAACCUGCAUCUGCAGGCAGGCAGCAGAUGCCUGCAACAACUCUGCAGCAGACGACUGGUACGUUUCGGUGCACACGUUGCCGCUAA
rnacentral:lncRNA from 1 species